GAAGUGAGAAUGCCGGUGUGAGUAGCGAAAGACGGGUGAGAAUCCCGUCCACCGAUUGACUAAGGUUUCCAGAGGAAGGCUCGUCCGCUCUGGGUUAGUCGGGUCCUAAGCUGAGGCCGACAGGCGUAGGCGAUGGAUAACAGGUUGAUAUUCCUGUACCACCUAUAAUCGUUUUAAUCGAUGGGGGGACGCAGUAGGAUAGGCGAAGCGUACGAUUGGAUUGUACGUCUAAGCAGUGAGAUUGAGUGUUAGGCAAAUCCGGCACU
rnacentral:rRNA from 1 species